rnacentral:rRNA from 1 species
GACGAACGCUGGCGGCGUGCCUAAUACAUGCAAGUAGAACGCUGACUACUUUAGCUUGCUAGAGUAGAAGGAGUUGCGAACGGGUGAGUAACGCGUAGGUAACCUGCCUACUAGCGGGGGAUAACUAUUGGAAACGAUAGCUAAUACCGCAUAACAGUGUUUAACACAUGUUAGAUGCUUGAAAGAUGCAAAUGCAUCACUAGUAGAUGGACCUGCGUUGUAUUAGCUAGUUGGUGGGGUAACGGCCUACCAAGGCGACGAUACAUAGCCGACCUGAGAGGGUGAUCGGCCACACUGGGACUGAGACACGGCCCAGACUCCUACGGGAGGCAGCAGUAGGGAAUCUUCGGCAAUGGGGGCAACCCUGACCGAGCAACGCCGCGUGAGUGAAGAAGGUUUUCGGAUCGUAAAGCUCUGUUGUAAGAGAAGAACGUGUGUGAGAGUGGAAAGUUCACACAGUGACGGUAACUUACCAGAAAGGGACGGCUAACUACGUGCCAGCAGCCGCGGUAAUACGUAGGUCCCGAGCGUUGUCCGGAUUUAUUGGGCGUAAAGCGAGCGCAGGCGGUUUAAUAAGUCUGAAGUUAAAGGCAGUGGCUUAACCAUUGUUCGCUUUGGAAACUGUUAAACUUGAGUGCAGAAGGGGAGAGUGGAAUUCCAUGUGUAGCGGUGAAAUGCGUAGAUAUAUGGAGGAACACCGGUGGCGAAAGCGGCUCUCUGGUCUGUAACUGACGCUGAGGCUCGAAAGCGUGGGGAGCAAACAGG